UACGGAGGGUGCAAACGUUGCUCGGAAUCAUUGGGCGUAAAGCGCACGUAGGCGGCCUGUUAAGUCGGAUGUGAAAGCCCCGGGCUCAACCCGGGAAGUGCAUUCGAAACUGGCGGGCUUGAAUAUGGAAGAGGGUCGCGGAAUUCCCGGUGUAGAGGUGAAAUUCGUAGAUAUCGGGAGGAACACCGGUGGCGAAGGCGGCGACCUGGGUAGAUACGUGACGCUGAGGCGCGAAAGCGUGGGGAGCAAACAGG
rnacentral:rRNA from 1 species